ACGUUCUCAUACCAUUCGUGAGUUCGAUCUCGGGUACUUCGCGCAAUUGUUCUCGUGAGCCCGGCCAAAAGCGUCGAAAGCUUCGUUAUGGAAGUUGCCAAAGUGAACGAUUCGAGCAGCAGUCUCGUCGAGCAAUCGAUGAACGUAACGUCAGCAACGAAAGCCGUCUCGUCGUCGAAAUCUGUACAGAGUGUCCAGACGAAGUCGGUCGUGGAGUCGUCAUCCUCGAUUAAAUCUGUCUCUUCCUCGUCCACCAGAUCCCAACAAUCAGUGGAGUAUGAGGAGACGGUCGAGUACAGCGAUUAAUAUUAAAAUAAUGUGAAUCCUUCCAAUAAAAAAAGACAUCACGUGAGAAGAGGCUAAGAACAUAAUAAGAUUCGACUCGACUUGAUUCGUCGUUUGUUCAAAGAUUCAUUUUCGAACGAAUGUCAUUUGAUCUUGUUCUUCCUGACGAAAAAAAAUAUUCACAUACCGGAAAUGAUAAAUCGUUCGAAAUUGCAAGCUUCGAAGGAAGCACCACUCAAAUGAACAAUAAAAUUUCGCAACGUGCUAGCCGUCCUUCAAUGCAAUCUCGAAGAUCGGGGCGAUGAUCGGAGCAAGGAAGGGAGAAUCGAUUAGAGUCAUCAGGGCGUCCACUCGUCAGGAUUGCUCACCGAAAUAACGAGCCGCCACAUGUACGGCAGCCGCGCUAUGUGUAGACGCAACGGCAAGAAACACGACGAGUCAGAAGAGACGGAUGGAGAAGAAGAAAUUGAAAACGUGCGAGUUAAGGAACGCUCAGAAGCCUCUGGCCCUCGUCCAAUCAACAUGGUUCGCCGCGCCAAAUAGCAACUUGCUCCUUCCUAUUUUAUCCGAGGAUUUUUCCCGACUGACCACGUCACCGUUCAUCUUCCGAGUACGCAGAUCGCUUUGUCUCGGUCGCGUCUCGGUAUGUGGCCUCGGUUUAAAAGUAAAAUAAAAGUAAAAUUACUCGAUACAGUCCAAUUUGUAAGGCACACGUUUACUGAUCCUCUCUUUAGUUGCAUAAUGUAAUGUAGAUAGAUUUUUACAAAGUCUGAUAUAUUUUAAUUAAUUUUGUUAUAAGCCAAGCUUAUUCAGACUACAAGAUCCGAGAACUGUUCCAGAAAUAAAGAUAUGUGAUGAAAAUAA